rnacentral:tRNA from 1 species
AGCCCUGGUAGCUUAACCCUAAAGCAUUGGUCUUGUAAACCAAAGAUUGUGGAAUAACAUCUACCCAAGGCUA